rnacentral:rRNA from 1 species
UACGUAGGGUGCGAGCGUUAAUCGGAAUUACUGGGCGUAAAGCGUGCGUAGGUGGUUCGUUGUGUCUGUGGUGAAAGCCCCGGGCUUAACCUGGGAACGGCCAUGGAAACUGGCGGACUGGAGUCCCGGAGAGGAGGGUGGAAUUCCUGGUGUAGCGGUGAAAUGCGUAGAUAUCAGGAGGAACACCGGUGGCGAAGGCGGCCCUCUGGACGGUGACUGACGCUGAGACGCGAAAGCACGGGGAUCAAACAGG